rnacentral:rRNA from 1 species
CCUACGGGAGGCUGCAGUGGGGAAUAUUGGACAAUGGGCGAAAGCCUGAUCCAGCCAUGCCGCGUGUGUGAAGAAGGCCUUCGGGUUGUAAAGCACUUUCAGUGGGGAAGAAAGCCUUGGGGCUAAUACCCUCGAGGAAGGACAUCACCCACAGAAAAAGCACCGGCUAACUCCGUGCCAGCAGCCGCGGUAAUACGGAGGGUGCGAGCGUUAAUCGGAAUUACUGGGCGUAAAGCGCGCGUAGGCGGUCUGAUAAGCCGGUUGUGAAAGCCCCGGGCUCAACCUGGGAACGGCAUCCGGAACUGUCAGGCUAGAGGGCAGGAGAGGAAGGUAGAAUUCCCGGUGUAGCAGUGAAAUGCGUAGAGAUCGGGAGGAAUACCAGUGGCGAAGGCGGCCUUCUGGACUGACACUGACGCUGAGGUGCGAAAGCGUGGGUAGCAAACAGGAUUAGAUACCCUGGUAGUC